UACGUAGGUGACAAGCGUUGUCCGGAUUUACUGGGCGUAAAGAGCGCGCAGGCGGUCGUUCAAGUCGAAUGUGAAAGCCCCCGGCUUAACUGGGGAGGGUCAUUCGAUACUGUCAGGCUCGAAGGCAGGAGAGGGAAGCGGAAUUCCCGGUGUAGUGGUGAAAUGCGUAGAUAUCGGGAGGAACACCAGUGGCGAAGGCGGCUUUCUGGCCUGUUCUUGACGCUGAGGCGCGAAAGCCAGGGGAGCGAACGGG
rnacentral:rRNA from 1 species